CUACGGGUGGCUGCAGUGGGGAAUAUUGGACAAUGGGGGAAACCCUGAUCCAGCAAUGCCGCGUGUGUGAAGAAGGCCUGCGGGUUGUAAAGCACUUUCGGUUGGGAGGACUGCUUCUAGCACUAAUAUUGUUGGAAGUUGACGUUACCUUCAGAAGAAGCACCGGCUAACUCCGUGCCAGCAGCCGCGGUAAUACGGAGGGUGCAAGCGUUAAUCGGAAUUACUGGGCGUAAAGCGCGCGUAGGCGGCUAGAUCAGUCGGGUGUGAAAGCCCCGGGCUUAACCUGGGAACUGCAUCCGAUACUGUCUAGCUUGAGUACCGGAGAGGAGCGUAGAAUUCCACAUGUAGCGGUGAAAUGCGUAGAUAUGUGGAGGAACACCAAUGGCGAAGGCAGCUCUCUGGCCUGAUACUGACGCUGAGGUGCGAAGGCGUGGGGAGCAAACAGGAUUAGAUACCCCAGUAGUC
rnacentral:rRNA from 1 species